GACGGAGGAUGCAAGUGUUAUCCGGAAUCACUGGGCGUAAAGCGUCUGUAGGUGGUCAAAUAAGUCAACUGUUAAAUAGUGAGGCUCAACCUCAUAAAGGCAGUGGAAACUACACGGCUAGAGUGCGUUCGGGGCAGAGGGAAUUCCUGGUGUAGCGGUGAAAUGCGUAGAGAUCAGGAAGAACACCGGUGGCGAAAGCGCUCUGCUAGGCCGCAACUGACACUGAGGGACGAAAGCUAGGGGAGCGAAUGGG
rnacentral:rRNA from 1 species